rnacentral:rRNA from 1 species
AAACUUGCCCCGAGAUGAGUUCUCCCUGACCCUUUAAGGGUCCUGAAGGAACGUUGAAGACGACGACGUUGAUAGGCCGGGUGUGUAAGCGCAGCGAUGCGUUGAGCUAACCGGUACUAAUGAACCGUGAGGCUUAACCUUACAACGCCGAAGCUGUU